GCUCAAAGGGGCUGUUCUCUGCUGAUGUGUCUCCAGAUGCAGAAGUAUACAAGUUUUGUGGCAAGCCAGCUUGCUCUUACCCAGUAGCCAUUCUCUGUGGAGGGUAGGGCCAAAAAGAAAGCGAUAAGCCUUGUCAAAACUUCCCAUCAGGACAAACUACAGAAUAACAACCAUUAGCAGUUGUAAGUUAGAUGGCAUGCUAAAGAGUUGCAAGUCAGGAGGGCCGAUACUGCAACAUUCAACUCUCAAGAACCUCCUUACCUGUGGCGUGGGGUGGUCAAGAUGGUGUGCAUCACCUGUACAGUGAUGGUGGCUCCAUAUGGGGAAGUUAAUUUUGCGGUUAGACUCAGAAAGUAUUGAAUCCAUUUGUAGUUGAUCUAUAAAAAGAAGCUUUGAGACUGUGGAAGAAUAACGUAAAAAUUUACUUCUUAAACUACUAAACAAAACUAGACUCCUGAGCUGAAUUGGCCACUCCUUGAGAAGGAAAUGAAUGAUGGAAGUUCAAUAAUAACACGACAAAGAGAGAUGAGAGCACGACAGUAAAACGAGCGUAGAAUCUGGGUACGAGUAGAAAAGUUGAAAUGUUGUUUUGAACAGGUUAAGUGGUUCCACACCCAAAAGAGAAGGUUAUGGUUGGCUCUGGUAGCUGGAUUGGAAGCAAGAGUUCUGCCUACGAUAGGAAAGAGUCAUCCUAGUAGACGUAUUUCUCCCCUCCAGGGCUGGUUGUUGCUGCAGAGAAGGCGAUGAAAGGCGGUUUGCAUGAAAAGUUAAGAAUGACGGUUGCAGUGCCGUUACUUUGGGGGGUUCCUCCUGCCGCCGAAACACUUCACCUUGCCGUAAAGUGUGGUGGAGGAAUUGUAGACAAAGUUUAUUGGCAAUGGGAUUUCUUGUGAAAAAAAAAGAAAAAGAUUAGCAUCCCUUCCUAACCAUUAUUUGUGCAUGUUGUACUUAAUAUUGCUGUAUUCCCCCCAUCUGUACAAUACCAAAUUGUUGUAUUCCAAAUCAAAUCAGCCUCCUCCAGUGUCAUUAUCUCAUGUAUUACUAGCUUUUGACUCUUCCAUUUGGCUACAUUAAACAACUUCUCCAUAAAAAAAUUGAUGGUGAGCAACUUACAUGGCUAGGGGCAGUACAAUCGUGACGUUCUACGCUAAUCAUGCAAUGUCAUGUAGAGAGAACUUCAUAUGUAGUGUUGUGUCAUUGUGCAAGGCGCACCGAUUGUGGUGUAUUUGUGUCAUGUAAGAUGUGUUCGAACUGAUGAAGGCCUUUAUAAUGCCUAUAUCUAUUAUUCUGUUCUA